AUACGAAGGGGGCUAGCGUUGUUCGGAAUUACUGGGCGUAAAGGGCGCGUAGGCGGUUUAACAAGUCAGGUGUGAAAGCCCCGAGCUUAACUCGGGAACUGCGCUUGAUACUGUUAUUCUUGAAUUCGGGAGAGGUGAGUGGAAUUCCCAGUGUAGAGGUGAAAUUCGUAGAUAUUGGGAGGAACACCAGUGGCGAAGGCGGCUCACUGGACCGACAUUGACGCUGAGGCGCGAAAGCGUGGGGAUC
rnacentral:rRNA from 1 species